rnacentral:rRNA from 1 species
AACGAACGCUGGCGGCAUGCCUAACACAUGCAAGUCGAACGAUGGUCUUCGGAUCAUAGUGGCGCACGGGUGCGUAACGCGUGGGAAUCUGCCCUUGGGUUCGGAAUAACAGUUGGAAACGACUGCUAAUACCGGAUGAUGUCGAUAAGACCAAAGAUUUAUCGCCCGAGGAUGAGCCCGCGUCGGAUUAGCUAGUUGGUGGGGUAAAGGCCUACCAAGGCGACGAUCCGUAGCUGGUCUGAGAGGAUGAUCAGCCACACUGGGACUGAGACACGGCCCAGACUCCUACGGGAGGCAGCAGUGGGGAAUAUUGGACAAUGGGCGCAAGCCUGAUCCAGCAAUGACGCGUGAGUGAUGAAGGCCUUAGGGUUGUAAAGCUCUUUUACCCGGGAAGAUAAUGACUGUACCGGGAGAAUAAGCCCCGGCUAACUCCGUG